rnacentral:rRNA from 1 species
CAUACAGGCAUACGGCUCAGUAACGCGUAGUCAACCUAACCUAUGGACGGGAAUAACCUCGGGAAACUGAGAAUAAUGCCCGAUAGAACACUAUACCUGGAAUGGUUUGUGUUCCAAAUGAUUUAUCGCCAUAGGAUGGGACUGCGGCCUAUCAGUUUGUUGGUGAGGUAAUGGCCCACCAAGACUAUUACAGGUACGGGCUCUGAGAGGAGUAGCCCGGAGAUGGGUACUGAGACACGGACCCAGGCCCUAUGGGGCGCAGCAGGCGAGAAAACUUUGCAAUGUGCGAAAGCACGACAAGGUUAAUCCGAGUGAUUUGUGCUAAACGAAUCUUUUGUUAGUCCUAGAAACACUAAAAAAAAAAGGGGGGGGGGGAUUUUCUGGUUGUCAGCCGCCCGCGGUAAAACCCAGCACCUCAGGUGGUCAGGAUGAUUAUUGGGGCCUAAAGCAUCCGUAGCCGCUCUGUAGGUUUUUCGGUAAUCUGUACGCUCAUCGUACAGCUGCCGCGGAGAUGCUAGCUAGGAGUGGGGGAGGUAGACAGUACUCGCUAGCACUGGUAAAAGCUUUG